UAGGGAAUCUUGCGCAAUGGGCGAAAGCCUGACGCAGCCAUGCCGCGUGAAUGAUGAAGGUCUUAGGAUUGUAAAAUUCUUUCACCGGGGAAGAUAAUGACGGUACCCGGAGAAGAAGCCCCGGCUAACUUCGUGCCAGCAGCCGCGGUAAUACGAAGGGGGCUAGCGUUGCUCGGAAUUACUGGGCGUAAAGGGCGCGUAGGCGGACAGUUAAGUCAGAGGUGAAAGCCCAGGGCUCAACCUUGGAAUUGCCUUUGAUACUGGCUGUCUUGAGUUCGGGAGAGGUGAGUGGAAUGCCGAGUGUAGAGGUGAAAUUCGUAGAUAUUCGGCGGAACACCAGUGGCGAAGGCGACUCACUGGCCCGAUACUGACGCUGAGGCGCGAAAGCGUGGGGAGCAAACAGG
rnacentral:rRNA from 1 species